rnacentral:rRNA from 1 species
GUAGGUGGCAAGCGUUGUCCGGAAUUAUUGGGCGUAAAGCGCGCGCAGGCGGUUCGUUUAAGUCUGAUGUGAAAGCCCACGGGCUCAACCGUGGAGGGUCAUUGGAAACUGGAGAACUUGAGUACAGAAGAGGAAAGCGGAAUUCCACGUGUAGCGGUGAAAUGCGUAGAGAUGUGGAGGAACACCAGUGGCGAAGGCGGCUUUCUGGUCUGUAACUGACGCUGAGGCGCGAAAGCGUGGGGAGCAAACAGGAUUAGAUACCCUGGUAGUCCACGCCGUAAACGAUGAGUGCUAAGUGUUAGGGGGUUUCCGCCCCUUAGUGCUGCAGCUAACGCACUAAGCACUCCGCCUGGGGAGUACGGCCGCAAGGCUG